AACAGUCAUUCAGGACGGACUAAGUCACAAUCCCCAACAGUGUACAACUCCACACUCGUCGUCUAGCGUGGGCGUCACCUCAAUAUAACACAACGAUGUGAAAUCCGGGGUUUCAUACCCUCAGGACAACAUUUACAAUCAUUAUUCACCUCUUACCGGUCCAAACUCUAGCUCGCGAUGCCCUUGCCUCUCGAAUCAGCCUCCAGAUGCUCCAAAUCUAACCAAAAUUAGUGCAAAACUAUCAAAAUAUGCUAAGGGGACAAAGCCCACUCGAAAGAAAUCAAAUUACAAUACAAGUCCCGAAAUUGGCCAAACUCAACCCCGUGCCCACGUCUCGGAAUCCAAUAAAAAUUAUAUCAAUAGACUCAUUAUCACUCCCCGAGUUCAUUCAUAUCAAAAGCACCAAAAUCCAACGACAAACGGCCCCUCAAAUCCCAAAUUCUAGAUCUCCAAUUACAAGCCCUAGUUCUUCAAUAUUUAGGCUUAAAUUCUACAAAUUCCAUGAUUAAUUAGGUAUGAAUCACAUUUGGAUUGAGUAUUAAGUCCAUAAAUCUUACCUCCAAGUGUUCCCCCUUGACUCCCUCCCUUCAAAAAGCUUCAAAAUCUCCCAAAAAUGGAGGAAUUUAGACCCAAAAUCGCAGAAAUGUGUCUUUUAAACAUUCCGUCCAACACUUAAAAAUCCUUCAUCGUGAACGCGGUCAAUGCCUCGCGUUCGCGAAGCACAAAUUUGAGUUGACUAUUUUUCCUUCUUCGCGAAUGCGGCUCCCCUCUCAUGAACGCGAAGACUCAGCUUCGCAACCCAUUGCGAACGUGGCUUCCCUCUCGCGAACGCGUAGCUUCCUGACUCCAACCCUUCGCGAAUGUGGGACCUCCAUCAUGAACGCUAAGGCCAAAUCUACAGCCUCUCAUCCUAACCCUUCGCGAACGCGAGGUCCUACUCGCAAACGCAAAGGCCAACGGUCUGCAACACUCACAGCAGAUAUCUGCAAUUUUUCCCAACUUGAAACAAUCCGUUUAACCACCCGAAACUCACCCGAGGCCCUUGGGACCCCAAACAAACAUGCCAACCUAUCCCAUAACAUCACUCAAAAUUGUUCUAACCUUUGGCAUGCUCAAAACAACAUCAAAACAUCAAAUUUGCAUCGGAUUCAAGCCUAAGAUUUCCAAAAUCUUCCAAAUUCUGCUUUCGAUCAAAAAGUCUAUCAAACCACGUCCGAAUGACCUAAAAUUUUGCAAACACAUCCCAAAUGACACAACAGACCUACUGAAACUUCCGGAAUUCCAUUCCAACCCCUAUAUCAAAAUCUCACCUACCAACCGAAAAAUGCCAAAAUUUCAAUCUCGCCAAUUCAAGCCUAAAUCUACUCCGGACCUCCAAAACACAUUCCGAUCACACUCCUAAGUCCCAAAUCAUCUCCCGAAGAUAUCCAAACCAUUGGAACCCACAUACAAGCCCUUUAUCACAUAAGCCAAACAUCCAGUUGACUUUUCCAACUUAAGCUUACACAAAAGAAACUAAGUAUCUCAAAUCUUACCAAAAUCUCUCCGAACUAGAGCCAACCAACCUGAUAGCAUAAAAAUACCACUGAACAAGUCAAUAAGAAGCAGAAAUGGGAAAAACGGAGCGAUAACUCAUGAAUCGACUUGCCGGGUCAUUACAGUCACCCCUCCGGCGCGUGUUCCUGAUUCCUGAUCGAGAUCCCAUGGUAAGAUGCCCCUUCUGAGCCGUUCUGCACCAUAUCGGAGUUCUCUUCUUUUGUAGCUAAUUAUGUAUUGUCUAUCCUAUUUCAGACAGUUGGAUAGUGGUAUUUUGUAUAUUCUACUAGUUGCCCUAGUACUUGUGACACUAGUUCCUGGCACACGCUGUAGAUUGUCAUUUUUGGGUUGCAUUUCUAUUGUUAUGAAAUUGUUGAUUUUCGAGCUACUAAAAUAUAAUUAAGUGAAUAUUGAAAAUGUUUAAAUAAAAACAAUUGAGAACUCACUAGUUAAUUAGGAUUGUCUUGCCUGACAACGGUGUUGGGCGCCAUCACGUCCUAUAGUGAAAUUUGGGUUGUGACAACAUGGUAUCAGUGCACUAGGUUUACGUAGGUCUUACAAGUCAUGGGAAAACCUAAUAGAGUCUUGCGGAUCAGUAAAGAGACGUCUGUAUUUAUCUUCGAGAGGCUAUAAGGUGUUAGGAAACUACUCUUUAUUCAUCUCCCAUCAUGUAGUGGAUGGUAUACUAAUUUCCUUCUUCUAUUCUCUCAUAGAUGGUGAGGACACGCAUGACUAAUUUUCCAAAUCCGGGAUGAGAUGUUCCCCCCAUUGCUAGAGGCCAAGGCUGAUGCCGGGGGAGGGCACCAGCCCGAGGUAGGGGAUGAGGGCAUCCUAGAGCUGUUCCAGUAGCAUCACCGGCGGAUCCUGCGGGGAUCCUAUCAUUAAGAAGUAGGGUGAGGUGCCCGCAGUUAAGCCUACCCCGGCGGACUUCAUGACAGCACCGGGUUUCCAGGACGUCAUGGGCAGUAUGUUGCAGUUCAUGGACACCAUAACUCAGGCUGGUUUAUUUCCAACAGAUCCAACUACAUACCAGGCGGGAUGGGGAACACAGACCCUUACUACUCAAGCUCCUUGUCAUAUAGAUGCAGUGUAUCAGACUCCGGGUGCACUACCCAUGGAAGGGGCUCAGCUAGUUGCUGCAGUGGUACACGAGCCCAUACAUGUUGCGGAUGGCGAUCCGCAAAAGUUAUUGGAUAGAUGGACUAGGAUACACCCUCUUAUCUUCGGGGGUGAGCGUUAUGAGGAGGCCCAGUAUUUCAUUGAUAGGUGCAGGGACAGACUAUAUAACAUGAGGAUAUUGGAGUCGCAUGGGGUUGAUUUCACUACUUUCCAGCUGGAGGGCAGGGCUUGUAGAUGGUGGCAGUCUUAUGUUCUUGGCAGGCUAGCAGGUUCUCCCCCCAUCACUUGGGGUCAGUUCACACAGUUAUUCCUGGAUAGGUAUAUUCCACCCUCUGAGAGGGAAGAGCUACGGUAUCAGUUUGAGUAGCUUGAGUAGGGUUAGAUGUUAGUGACCGACUAUGAGGAAAGGUUUUCUAAGUUAUCCCGCCAUGCACUGAUGAUACUUCCUACUGACGCAGAGAGGGUGCAGAGGUUCGUUGCAGGGUUUCAUUCUGGAAUUAGGGCCUACAUUGCCUGAAAGGUGGAGAUGGGGAUUCCUUAUCAGCUAAUGGUAGAUAUUGCUCGGAGGAUUGAGGGCUACCGCUUGAGAGGUAGGGAGAAGAUGUAGCAGGACAAGAGGGCUAGAUUCUACGGAGAGUUCAGAGGUGCCUCGGCUAGGGGCAGGGGUCAGUUUGGGAGGGGCCAGCCUAGCAGGCCCCCAUAUUCAGCACCACCACCACCUCCUCGAGGUGCUCCAGCAUGCCCCUAUUUCAGCGCCAUUCUAGAGUGUUCUUACAGCCCGCCAGCUAUUCAGGGUUCCUCCAGUGGGUAUUCAGGUCCCCAGGGUUCUUCUAGUUUCUAUUUUAGCGUUAUGCCGGAGAGUUCAUACCAUCUACCAGCUAUUCAGGCUUCUUCCAGUGGGUCUACAGGCCAUCAGGGUCAGACAUCAGGGCAGCAGAUUGCUGCACCAUGGAGUUAUUUUGAGUGCGGAGACCUUGGUCAUAUGUGGAGAUACAACCCCAAGCUUCAGAGCAAGUCAGUACAGCAGAGUCAACAGCCCAUGAUUAUAGCACCGGUUGCCCAGCCGCCUAGAGGUGAGGGACAGACUAGUAGGGGCCAUCCUAGAGGUGGAGGCUAGACAGGGAUAGGUCAGCCAACUACUACUCAGUUAGGUGGAGGCCAGCCAGCCGGCGCUCUAGCCAGAUUCUAUUCCUUUUCGGCCAGACUAGAUGCAUUAGCCUCAGAUGUCGUUAUCACAAGUAUUAUUUCCAUAUACGGUAGGGAUGCUUCAGUACUAUUUGAUCCAGGGUCUACCUAUUCAUAUGUGUCAUCUCUGUUUGCUCAUUUCCUGGAUAUUCCUCGUGAGUCCCUGGGUACUCCCGUUCAUGUAUCCACUCUUGUGGGCGAUUCUAUGGUUGUGGAUCAGAUCUAUCGAUCCUGUGUGGUCACAUUUUGUGAUUUCGAGACUAGAGCAGAUCUCUUGUUACUUUAUAUGACCAACAUUGAGGUCAUCCUAGGCAUGGAUUGGUUAUCCCCAUACCACAUCGUUCUGGCUUGCCAUGCCCAAACUAUUAUUUUAGCAAUGCUAGAGUUGCCAAGGUUGGAGUGGAAGGGUUCCUCAGUUAGUACAUCUAGUCGGGUGAUCUCUUUUCUGAAGGCUCGACAUAUGGUCGAGAAGGGUUGUUUGGCUUGUCUAGCCUAUGUUCGGGACACCACCACAGAGUCUCCAGCGAUUGAUUCAAUACCAGUAGUCCGGGAGUUCGUCGAUGUAUUUCCUUCUGAACUUCCUGGCAUGCCACCAGAUUGUGAUAUUGAUUUCUGCAUUGAUUUUAUUCUAGGUACCCAACCUAUAUCUAUUCCACCGUACUGUAUGGCUCCGAAAGAGUUGAAGGAGCAGCUUGAGGAGUUGUUAGCAAAAGGGUUUGUUAGACCAUGUGUGUCACCUUGGGGUGCACCAGUGUUGUUUGUAAAGAAGAAGGAUGGGACCAUAUGGAUAUGCAUUGAUUACCGCCAGUUGAACAAGCGUACCAUUAAAACAAGUACACGUUACUGUGCAUUGAUGAUUUGUUCGACCAGUUGUAGGGUGCUAGGGUGUUCUCUAAGAUCGACAUGAGAUCAGGGUACCAUCAGUUGAAGAUUCAGAACUCAGAUGUUCCGAAGACUGCUUUCCGUACUAGAUAUGGUCAUUAUGAGUUUCUGGUGAUGUCUUUUGGCUUGACUAAUGCCCCAGUUGUGUUUAUGGACUUGAUGAAUAGGGUGUUCAGACCUUAUAUUGAUCCUUUGAUAGCAUCUUCAUUGAAGACAUCUUGAUAUACUCACGUAUCCUGGGAGAGCAUAAGCAAUAUUUGAGAGUAGCGCUUCAAACUUUGCGAGAGCAGAAGCUAUAUGCUAAGUUCUCCAAGUGUGAGUUUUGGCUAGAGUUAGUGGCAUUCUUGGGGCAUAUUGUGUCAGGAGAGGGUAUUAAUGUGGAUCGCAAGAAGAUUGAGGCCGUUUAGAGUUGGCCACAUCGUACUUUAGCGACCGAGAUCAGGAGUUUCCUAGGGAUAGCAGGUUGUUAUCGUCGAUUCAUGUAGGGUUUUUCAUAUAUUGCAGCACAUCUGACUAGAUUGACCUAGAAGGGUGCUCCUUUCUGUAUGUCUGAUGAUUGCGAGAUGAGCUUUCAGAAGCUCAAGAUAGCUUUGACUAUAGCACCGGUUCUUGUGUUGCCUUCUGGUUCGGGGAUAUAUACGGUAUAUUGUGAUGCUUCAUGCGUCGGCUUGGGAAGUGUGUUGAUGUAGGAUGGGCGAGUUAUUGCAUAUGCUUCAGGUCAGUUGAAGAUUCAUGAGAAUAACUACCCGGUACACGACCUGGAGUUAGCAGCGAUUGUUCAUGCUCUUAAGAUAUGGAGGCAUUAUCUGUAUGGGGUGUCCUGUGAGGUUUACACUGAUCAUCGCAGCUUGCAACAUUUGUUCAAGUAGAGGAAUCUUAAUUUGAGGUAGCGUAGAUGGCUUGAGUUACUAAAGGAAUAUGACAUCGCCAUUCUUUAUCAUCUGGGCAAGGAAAAUAUGGUCGCAAAUGCCUUGAGUAGGAAAGCAGAGAGUAUGGGUAGNNNNNNNNNNNNNNNNNNACAUUUUAGAGCCCUAUCGAGUCCUUGCGUGUGUUGUUGCUCAGUCUUCACUUUUGGGGCAGAUCAACGCUCGACAAGUUGAUAAUCCACAUUUGGCAGGUCUCAAAGAGACAGUGCUCUGCGACUACAUGGUUGGCAGGUUUCUAUUGGUGAGGAUGGUGUUCUAUGACUCCAAGGUCGUCUAUGUAUUCCUAAUGUUGAUAGCUUGAAGAAGAGGAUUCUAGAGGAGGCACACAGUUCACGGUAUUCCAUCCAUCCAGAUGCUACAAAGAUGUAUCAUGACCGAAGACAACAUUAUUGGUGGCAGCGGAUGAAGAAAGACAUAGUUGAGUAUGUGGCUUAGUGUUUGAAUUGUCAACAGGUUAAUAUAAGCACCAGAGGCCAGGUGGCCUACUGCAGGAGAUGCCUAUACCUGAGUGGAAGUGGUAGCACAUUACCAUAGACUUCGUAGUCGGGUUGUUGCAGACAUUGCAGAAGUUUGAUGUGGUUUAGGUCAUUAUCGACAGGUUGACCAAGUCGGCACACUUUAUUCCAAUGGUGACUACUUAUACUUCAGAGAGGUUGGCACAGAUCUACGUUCGGGAGAUAGUUCAAAUGCACGGUGUGCCCGUUUCCAUCAUAUUAGAUUGAGGCCCUCAGUUCACGUCACAUUUCUGGAGAGUUGUUUAGAGUGAGUUGGGGACCUUUUUGGAGCUCAGCACAACAUUCCAUCCUCAGACCGACGGAGAGUCGAAACGGACAGAUCAGAUUUUGGAAGACAUGCUUAGAGCAUGUGUGAUUGACUUUGGAGGACAGCGGGAUCAGUUCUUGCUUUGGCCGAGUUGCUUACAACAACAAUUAUCNNNNNNNNNNNNNNNNNNNNNNNNNGCUAAGUUUUAUGGUACAGAUUUGGUGAAAGAUUCCUUAGAAAAGGUAAAGUUGAUUCAGGAAAGGCUCUACAUAGCUCAGUCCAGAGUUACACGGAUCAGAAGGCGUCCGAUGUAUCAUUCAUGGUCGGCGAGAAGGUUCUCUUGAAAGUCUCACCGAUGAAGGGUAUUAUGAGAUUCGGGAAGAAGGGCAAGUUGAGCCCAAGGUUUAUUGGCCCAUUUGAGGUGUUGAGGCGAUUUGGGGAGGUUGCUUAUGAGUUUUCUUUACCUCCCAACUUAUCGGGAGUUCAUCCAGUUUUUCACAUAUCUAUGCUGCGGAAGUAUCACGCUGACUUGUCCUAUGUGUUAGACUUCAGUAUUAUUCAGCUGGAUGAGAGAUUGGGUUAUAAGGAGGAGCCAAUUUCCAUUAUUGAUAGGCAGGAUCGCUAGAUGAGAUCCAAGAGGAUUUCUACAGUAAAGGUCUAGUGGAGGGGCCAACCAGUCAAGGAGGCGACCUGGGAGACCGAGGAGGACAUGCGGAGCAGAUAUCCAUUCUUAUUUGGCACUUCAGUUAUGAAUCUAAACCCGUUCGAGGAUGAACGUUUGUUUAAGAGGUGGAGAAUUUAACGACCCGACUGGUCGUUUUGAUUUUUAGAACCCUGUUCCCCUAGAUAAGACUUCCCGUACUUGCUUUACUGAUUUAUGACUUGCGGGAAUGGUUUGUUCCGUAUUUGGAAGAGUUUGGGUUGAAAUCGGAACACUCGGUUGCUUAAGGUUGGCUUAAAAGGCUAAGUUUGACUUUGGUCAAUGUUUUGAGUAAACGACCUCGGAAUCCGGAUUUGAAGGUUCCAACAGGUUUGUAUGAUGAUUUCAGACUUGGGCAUAUGUCCGGAUCGAGUUUUGGAUGACCCUCGAGCGUCUUGGCGCCUAUUAGUGAAAGUUGAUUCCUUAAGGAUUUUGAAGUUCUUAAAUAUUUGGUUUGGAGCGGGUUUUUAUGUUAUCAAACUCCAAACGGAGUUCCGAGACUGGGAAUAGUUCCGUAUUGUCAAUUAAGACUUGCACGUAAAAUUUGGUGUCAAUCCGAGUAGUAUAAAUGUGUUUUAUCACAUUGGAUGUAAAUUGAAGAACUUGAAGUUCUUAGGUUUGGAUCAAUUAGUUUUAGGGUGUGAUUCUUAGAUUUAGCGUUGUUUCGGGCAUUCCGAGGGUUCUAGCGGGUCUGUUUUAUGAUUUCAAACUUGUCGGUAUGUUCGGGCGGGGCUCGGGGCCCCCGAGCAUUAAUCGGACGAGGCUCGAGUUAAGUUGGAAAGUUUUUGAAGGAGCUGAAGCUCCUGGUAUCUAUCAUAACCGCACUUGCGGUUGGUCAGCCGCGGGUGCGAGACCGCAAAAGUGGUCGAGUCUUCAUAGGUGCGACCAAGGGGAGGAGCCCAGGAACUGCAGAUGCGGCUCCUCUUCCGCAGAAGCGGAAUCGCAGAAGCGGUCCCAGCCAUCCCAGCCCAACUCCGCAGAUGCGGAUGUUCCCUCGCAGAAGCAAGACCGCAGAUGCGGUCCCCUAACCGCAGGUGCGGAAGUCUCUGAAGGCAGUGCCUUCAUUUAAUACGGGAAUGUGCCAUUUUUGACAUAUUUCAUUCAUUAUUUGGGCAAUUUGGGAGCUUCCAAAGAGGGAUUUCAACCUAGCACUUGUAAGGUAAGUUACUUCUACUUAAUGUGAGUUCAAAUACUUAGUUUAUGGAUAGAUUAAUACACAAAAAUUUGUAAAAAUUAUGGGAUUAGAGUAAAACUUAAGGUUUUGAUAUAACAAGAUUUUACCACGAAAUUUGUUAUGGAAUAAAGUAAAAAUCAUAUAUUUUUUAUCCUUAGGUUAUGGGUAACAACUUUCCUCAAAGAUUUCCGGAAUCCGGGCACGUGGGCCCAAGGAUGGAUUUUAGGAAACUUGUAUUUAGGGUUGGGAAAUUACUUUAAUAAUUAGAAUAUGAACUCUUGAGCUUGUAUUGACUAGUUCUUACCCUGUUUAAUUAGUUUGGAUCGUUCGGCUCCAAAUUGAGAGUUUGAGCACAUUCUUGAUAUUUCGAAGCAAGCUUUGGAGCAAGGUGAGUUUCCUCUCUAACCUCGUAAGAGGGAAAUAAACCCUAGGUGAAUCUAAUAAAUGUAUGUCAUUGUCUGUUGGGGCUACGUACGUAUGUGAUGACGAGAGUCUGUGCGUAGCUACUAUUAUGCUAAUUGUCCGGGUAGUUUAGGGCUCGUAUCAUGCCAUACUUGCAAAUGCUUAUAUUCGUACUUGCUAAUGAGAUCACUUAAGACAUGUUAGGGAAUGAAAAUAAAUAUAAAUGACCAUAUGCACUUACUAGAGAACUUGCAUGAAUUUAUUUGACUAUAAAUGUACAUUUAUGUGCCUCCUUUAUAAUAAUUGAUAUUUGUGGAUCGGGCCGAUCACAUCGGUAGAAAUAGAGGCAUCUAUGGUUUGAGCCAUUCGACCCUCUGGCAGUGCACAAUUAUUAUUAUGUUGGACCAAGUCGUACGACCUCAGCAUAAUGUGCACAUAAUAUUUAUGUGGAAUAACUCCAUGAUUUACUCUGUUUAAAUGCUUGAAGUGCAAAUUAUUAUGUGACAUGACUGAAUUUGAUAUAUCGUGUCCUCCUAAAUUGUGAUAUAGUUAUUAUAUUAAUACUAAUCAUGCUUAGUGUAAGUCAUAUAUAUUAUUGUUGAUAUUGACCUUAGUAAGUGUCAAGUCGACCCCUCGUCACUACUUCUUAGAGGUUAAACUGGAUACUUGCUGGGUACAUAUUAGAUAUGUACUCAUACUACGCUUCUGUACGCUUCUGUACUUAACUGUACAGGAUCUGAGGCAGGUGCAUCUAGUCACCCCUCCGGCGCACGUUCCAGAUUCCUGAUCGAAAUCCCACGGUGAACUGCCCAUUCUGAGCCAUUCUGCAGCAUACCGGAGUUCUCUUCUUUUGUAGCUGAUUAUGUACUAUCUACUCUAUUUCGGGCAGUAGGAUAGUGGUAUUUCGGGCACACGCUGUAGGCUAUCAUUUUUGGGUUGCAUUUCUAUUGUUAUGAAAUUGUUGAUUUUCGACAUGCUACAAUAUAAGUUAAGUGAAUAUUGAAAAUGUUUAUAUAAAACAAUUGAGUGUCACACCUCCUUUUUUUCUACACCCCGGAAAGGGUAUAAGGGAGUUUUUUCCAACUUAAAGUGACAAUCUAAACGGGAUUCAUUUAUUAUUAAAAAUUUAGAGUCGCCACUUGGGAUAAUUUAUGGUGUCCCAAGUCACCGGUUCAAAUCCCGGAAUCGAGGAAAAGAUUGACUCUGUUUUACAGUCCGCGAACACAGAAAUCCGGGUAAGGAAUUCUGUUAACUCGGGAAAAGGUGUUAGGCAUUCCCGAGUUCCGUGGUUCUAGCACGGUCGCUCAACUGUUAUUUUUGACCUAAUUAUCUGAUUUUAAAACACUUUUAAACCUAUGUGCAUUUUAACUUUAAAAACUGCUUUUAAUUAUCUUGAGGAAGAUUUCAACGUCAUCUAAAACACAUCUUGGACUACGUCACAUAAAUGCACCCGCGGUCCAUGACACAUUUUAUCCAACGUUGCUGAGAUUUGAAUUUGGGUCACAUAAAUGCACACCCGAGUUUAAGGAAAUUAUUUUAAAUUAUGUGCCUAAAACAAACUGCGAAAGUUCACAAAUUAUUUCUUUCUACUAUGCAAUCUGCCUUUUUAAAGGUAGGGGUAAGGUCUGCGUACACUCGACCCUCCCCAAACCUCACUUGCGGGACUAAACCGGGUUUGUUGCGGUAUACUAACACUGUAAUCUGUUGUCUUACAUGAAAUAUUUUAUAAUAAAUUAAGAAAGCUGGCUAAGUGACACAACAGAAUAGUUUGACUCUAACUUUAUAAUUGAUAAAUUCAUAAACAACGAAUACUUUAUCGACAGUUGAAAUUACGCUAUUUGGUACUCCAAAGAAACAACAAAUACUUAAAAACCAAGAACUGCAACUACCAUCUACUUUUCUCCGUUUUCUUACCAUAAACCAUUCAUAACGAAUUUAACCCAAUUAAAGGUUUCAGAAGACAUUUUUUGCUCAAUCACUAUUGGAAAGAAAACAAAGUUAAACCCAAAACGAUUCCAAAUUCAAGGCUAAACCAAAAAAAAAUUAACUUACAACCUAAAAUUCUAACACUGCAGUAAAAAGAUGAAACCUUUUAUCCAUUAUUAUCUUCCAAAUACACGCCUAACCAUCCAAGUUGUGAAUCCAAGACUUUGAUAAAACUAAAACAAUGUAAUACCAUAGUGAUAAAAUUCAUAAGGGGAAAAUGCUUAUACAAAAACUACAGCAGAAAAUGGGAUACGAAAUAGAAGAUUAAAAUAUAAGCAGCUGUUGAACAUGUAAGAAAUCAAUUUCCAGAUCCAUGGAACAAUUAUUCAGAGCAAUAACGAGUUGAGAUUCAUUGAAAAAAAAUAAUCCUUCAUUAAAUAGAUAGUACAAGUUCAGGAAGUGUACCUAGAAACUUGGAAAAGCAAACUUCAAAUAGCCAAAUAAAGGCUGAAUUAGGCAGAUUUGUGCUAGAAGAAGCCAAAACCAGUAGGCUCAAGCAGCAGAACAACAACAAACGAGCAACAAACAAACACUAAUUCGAGCUUCAACAGUCCACACCUCAGUCAGAUCCGAAUUUCACGUAACAGCAAAUAAACAACAAAAGAACGGAGGUGAGAUCGAAACCAAUGGUUAUUGGCUCAUUUUUUGUCUCUCACUUUCGUUUUCCUUUCUUUUUCCGCAGGUAGCUGCUGAUUUCUUUUGGAUCUUUGGUUGCUAGGUUCAGGGAGAUGGGGUUCGGAUCCUUCUUUUGCGCCGUUACUUGUUUUUUUUUCCAGAUUCCCCCCCCCCCUCUAGGUCUAUGUGUUCUCCCUUUUAAACUUCUAGUCUCUCUCCCUUUCCAGCUCCUCUUUUUCUUUACAAUUGUAUUAUUUCAGCUUUUUGAAAUGUUCAUCCCAAGUUGUCUUAUUUUCCAACUCUUAAAAGUAUUGAAUAGGGUGUCCUUUGCAUUGUUGGUCCCCUUUUUAUUAAAUUAAUCCCUAGACUGAUCCUACCAUGUGCUAGCAACUUCUUAAGUAGGUGAGAUACACCUUUUCAUUAAACAAUUUUUAGGCUAUCUUAAAGGCUUCCUAAUUA
rnacentral:lncRNA from 1 species